CCCGGGGGGCAGCAGUGAGGAAUAUUGGUCAAUGGGCGUAAGCCUGAACCAGCCAAGUCGCGUGAGGGAUGAAGGUUCUAUGGAUCGUAAACCUCUUUUAUAAGGGAAUAAAGGGUGGGACGUGUCCUAUUUUGUAUGUACCUUAUGAAUAAGGAUCGGCUAACUCCGUGCCAGCAGCCGCGGUAAUACGGAGGAUCCGAGCGUUAUCCGGAUUUAUGGGGUUUAAAGGGUGCGUAGGCGGCCUUUUAAGUCAGCGGUGAAAGUCGGUGGCUCAACCAUAGAAUUGCCGUUGAAACUGGGGGGCUUGAGUAUGUUUGAGGCAGGCGGAAUGCGUGGUGUAGCGGUGAAAUGCUUAGAUAUCACGCAGAACCCCGAUUGCGAAGGCAGCCUGCCAAGCCAUGACUGACGCUGAUGCACGAAAGCGUGGGGAUCAAACAGGAUUAGAUACCCUUGUAGUC
rnacentral:rRNA from 1 species